rnacentral:rRNA from 1 species
AAUGGCUCAUUAAAUCAGUUAUCGUUUAUUUGAUAGUGCCCUUUACUACUUGGAUAACCGUGGUAAUUCUAGAGCUAAUACAUGCAUAAAGCCCCGACUUCGGAAGGGGUGUAUUUAUUAGAUAAAAAACCAAUGCCCUUCUGGGCUGCUUGGUGAUUCAUAAUAACGCAACGAAUCGCAUGGCCUUGCGCCGGCGAUGGUUCAUUCAAAUUUCUGCCCUAUCAACUUUCGAUUGUAGUUUAGUGGACUACAAUGGUUUCAACGGGUAACGGGGAAUUAGGGUUCGACUCCGGAGAGGGAGCCUGAGAAACGGCUACCACAUCCAAGGAAGGCAGCAGGCGCGCAAAUUACCCAAUCCCGACACGGGGAGGUAGUGACAAUAAAUACUGAUACAGGGCUCUUUUGGGUCUUGUAAUUGGAAUGAGUACAAUUUAAAUCCCUUAACG